UGCACUUCCAGGGAAGCCUUUCGACCCCAGCUUCUUGCUCAGCUGUGCUACGUCCAACGUCAUCUGCUCCAUUGUCUUUAGUACCCAUUUUGAUUACCAUGACAAGAGAUUUCUAGGGAUGAUGAAAGUGAUGAACGACAACUUCUGGAUUAUUAGCUCUCCAUGGGGACAGCUCAGCAAUUUCUUCCCAACUUUCAUGAACCUCAUUCCUGGGCCUCACCACAGAAUGGCAAAAAACAAUGAAAAAAUGAGAGAUUUUGUUAACAAGGCAAUUAAGCACAAUAAGGACACCCUUGAUCCCAGGGCUCCACGGGACUUCAUUGACUGCUUUCUUAUUAAAAUGGAGCAGG